AUUGAACGCUGGCGGCAUGCCUUACACAUGCAAGUCGAACGGUAACGGGCCUUCGGGUGCCGACGAGUGGCGAACGGGUGAGUAAAGCAUCGGAACGUACCUUUCAGUGGGGGAUAACGUAGCGAAAGUUACGCUAAUACCGCAUAUUCUGUGAGCAGGAAAGCAGGGGAUCGCAAGACCUUGCGCUGAUUGAGCGGCCGAUGUCAGAUUAGCUAGUUGGUGAGGUAAAGGCUCACCAAGGCGACGAUCUGUAGUGGGUCUGAGAGGAUGAUCCGCCACACUGGAACUGAGACACGGUCCAGACUCCUACGGGAGGCAGCAGUGGGGAAUUUUGGACAAUGGGGGCAACCCUGAUCCAGCCAUGCCGCGUGAGUGAAGAAGGCCUUCGGGUUGUAAAGCUCUUUCGGUCGGGAAGAAAUCGCAUGGGUUAAUACCCUGUGCGGAUGACGGUACCGGCAUAAGAAGCACCGGCUAACUACGUGCCAGCCGCCGCAGUAA
rnacentral:rRNA from 1 species